AGCAGCCGCGGUAAUUCCAGCUCCAAUAGCGUAUAUUAAAGUUGUUGCAGUUAAAAAGCUCGUAGUUGAAUUUCGGGAUCAAUACGUCGGUCGUACCUCGGUACGUACUAACGUCAUUGAUUUCUCCCUUCUGACGAACCAUGAUGCCAUUAAUUUGGUGUUAUGGGAAAUCAGGACUGUUACUUUGAAAAAAUUAGAGUGUUUAAAGCAGGCUCACGCUUGAAUACAUUAGCAUGGAAUAAUGAAAUAGGACGUUCGAUCCUAUUUUGUUGGUUUUUAGGAUCAACGUAAUGAUUAAUAGGGAUAGUUGGGGGCAUUAGUAUUCAAUUGUCAGAGGUGAAAUUCUUGGAUUUAUUGAAGACUAACUACUGCGAAAGCAUUUGCCAAGGAUGUUUUCAUUAAUCAAGAACGAAAGUUAGGGGAUCGAAGACGAUCAGAUACCGUCGCAGUCUUAACCAUAAACUAUGCCGACUAGGGAUCGGAUGAUGUUAAUUAUUUAAUGACUCAUUCGGCGCCUUAA
rnacentral:rRNA from 1 species